rnacentral:lncRNA from 1 species
UUGAAUUUUGUAAAAUCAAAGGUUUUCUACCCCUCGUGGUAGCGUUUUUUUAAAGAAUAAAGGUUUCCGUGUAGGGAACAGUUUUCAAAAGAAUUUUCGUGGGUUUCUGUUUAAACACUGAAUGUAAAACUGUGAUGUGAAUGGUGAACGUAUGAAUGUAUAGUUAUCUUUAUAUUCAUCUAGUUGUGAUUGUAUCCUGGUUGUACUUUUGUACUUGUGCGACGCCGUGCAAAUACAGGGGAGAUUCUGUCCGUGUGAAUUAACAGUGGAUUCCCUGUAUUUGUGGCGGAUCUGGCAUACCCUGGGGUCAGGUUUGCAAAAAAAAAAAAAAUUCCGCUGUGUUUUUAAACAGAAAUGGACCCCGGGGCGUGACAGAUUAAAGUGGUAUCAGAGCGAGGUUACAACCACAACACCGUUCACAGGUUGUUUUGAAAAGUAAAUGAAGCUGAACCAUUGGUUAGGUUGACCCUUAGGAAGACUUACGGUGUAUAGGCACGUGAGUGCGGGGUUUGGACUUGUGUCCCGGUGUGCAUUCGAGUUUGUUAAACUCGAAGUGCAUGGUUUCUGUAUGUGUUACGGUUCGCACAAGCUAGUGUCUAAGUCGGGGGUAGUGGCGGUGUACUUUCAGACAUCGAGUGGUAGGGUGAAGUUACCCAGGUGUAGCCAUUCCUGUCAGGUGGGGCCUUGAAAGGCCAAUGAUCUGGGCCUAGGCGAGUGUCAUGACUGCCGACGCCCAGGCCACUCUCUCUACUUAGGACACGAGAGCUACUGCGAAUGUCUCUACGGAGAUGGUGCUUAGACCAGUUACGGUCGCGACUUCAGUGGUGCUACUAGGGUGUAGCCCAGGGUUUGGAUUGCGGUCGUUUCAGCGACUGCAUUGUUAGUAUUGCUUCCGCAGAUCUUUGGGUAGGGUUGUGAUGCCUACCUAUCCUCCUUGAUUGCUGAUUGGAAUCAGCGGUUCGGAUCUUACGACCUUUUCCUCGUUCAUUCUUCCUACCAGAGUCGGAUUGACACAGUUUUGGUGUCAGGUCCCUGUUAAUACAUACAUCGUAUGCGAUUGUUCUAACACCUAAAUUGGUGUGUUGUGGGUUAGUUGUAGUUGGUGAUAGG